rnacentral:lncRNA from 1 species
UCGUGGUACCCUUAUGUCUUAAUUAGCAUUUGGGAUGUCACAUAAAUAAUUUAGAUUAUAAAUGUGAAUCAUAAUGAUCGCAUGACUUCAAUGUCACAUUUUUUUUUGGCACCACACAUUAGUAAUCUUUACUAAUUCAGUUCAUAAUGCCAAAACAGCCUCUAUAAUUUGUCUUGUCAAGACAUUCCCUGUUAAUUAAAUACUAAAUUAUGCACCAAU